AGUGAACGCUGGCGGUAGGCCUAACACAUGCAAGUCGAACGGCAGCACAGUAAGAGCUUGCUCUUACGGGUGGCGAGUGGCGGACGGGUGAGGAAUACAUCGGAAUCUACUUUUUCGUGGGGGAUAACGUAGGGAAACUUACGCUAAUACCGCAUACGACCUACGGGUGAAAGCAUGGGAUCUUCGGACCUUGCGCGAUUGAAUGAGCCGAUGUCGGAUUAGCUAGUUGGCGGGGUAAAGGCCCACCAAGGCGACGAUCCGUAGCUGGUCUGAGAGGAUGAUCAGCCACACUGGAACUGAGACCCGGUCCAGACUCCUACGGGAGGCAGCAGUGGGGAAUAUUGGACAAUGGGCGCAAGCCUGAUCCAGCCAUACCGCGUGGGUGAAGAAGGCCUUCGGGUUGUAAAGCCCUUUUGUUGGGAAAGAAAAGCAGCAGGUUAAUACCCCGCUGUUCUGACGGUACCCAAAGAAUAAGCACCGGCUAACUUCGUG
rnacentral:rRNA from 1 species